rnacentral:rRNA from 1 species
GACGAACGCUGGCGGCGUGCUUAACACAUGCAAGUCGAGCGGUAAGGCCUUUCGGGGUACACGAGCGGCGAAAGGGUGGAACACACGUGGGUGAUCUGCACUGCACUUCGGGAUAAGGCUGGGAAACUGGGUCUAAUACCGGAAAUGACCUCCUAUCGCAUGGUGGGUGGGGGAAAGAUUUAUCGGUGCCGGAUGGGCCCGCGGCCGAUCAGCUUGUUGGUGGGGUAAUGGCCUACCAAGGCGACGACGGGUAGCCGACCUGAGAGGGUGACCGGCCACACUGGGCCUGAGACACGGCCCAGACUCCUACGGGAGACAGCAGUGGGGAAUAUGACACAAUGGGCGAACGCCUGAUGCAGCGGCGCCGCGUGCGGGAUGACGGCCUUCGUGUUGUAAACCGCUUUCAGCAGGGACGAAUCGCGAGUGACGGUACCUGCAGAAGAAGCACCGGCUAACUACGUG